GAUGCUAAUACCGGAUAACAACAGAUGAUGCCUAUCAACUGUUUAAAAGAUGGUUCUGCUAUCACUCUUGGAUGGACCUGCGGUGCAUUAGCUAGUUGGUAGGGUAACGGCCUACCAAGGCGAUGAUGCAUAGCCGAGUUGAGAGACUGAUCGGCCACAUUGGGACUGAGACACGGCCCAAACUCCUACGGGAGGCAGCAGGC
rnacentral:rRNA from 1 species